ACUGUUCAAGUUAAAAGAUGUGAAGCAGCUGCAGGCUAACACUGUAUAAACCGCUACAAUCAGCUUUCUCUUUUGAUUCUUCAGAACCUCCUUUUCAUGGCUGCUCUGUCCCAAAUAUGUGCCACAGAGAGAGAGAAAGGAAGAGCUGGUAAAUCAAUCUCCAGAAGUAAUUAAAAGCCAGAAAAAAGAAACCAUUCCACAGUUCAUGAUGGAGACCUUGAAAACUAGCAGUCAAUUUUGAUUCUGUUUAGCCAAUUAUCGUCGAAAUAUGCAGGAUCUCUGCAAGUAAAGAAAAGCUGGAUUAAGAUCAUGCAGCCCUCACACUUACAAAAGUACCCAGUGCCAUCAUUUAAGUGAUCCAUACAAACAUGUGUGCCACAUACCAGCCAUUAAAUGACCCACGAGGAAAUUCUCCAACCAACCAGCCAGCCAGCCAACCAACCAACCAGCCAGCCAACCAACCAACCAACCAACCAACCAACAAGCAAGCAAGCAAGCCUACUUAAACUUCCCAAACUCAGCAUGAGUAUCACUGUAAAUUUUGCUUGAAUAAGUUCACAUAUUUAUUAAUUCAUUUAUAAAUAUACUUCAGGGUACAGCAGUGACAGAGCUGCACGACCAUCCCCAGCAACCACACGGUGG
rnacentral:lncRNA from 1 species